rnacentral:rRNA from 1 species
GAUGAACGCUGGCGGCGUGCUUAACACAUGCAAGUCGCACGAGAACGCUUCAGCUUGCUGAAGCUAGUAAAGUGGCGUACGGGUGAGUAACGCGUGGGUAAUCUACCUCUGAAUUGGGGAUAACAUUGCGAAAGCGAUGCUAAUACCGGAUAAUAUCCAUUUAAUCUCGGUUUUUUGGAUCAAAGGUGGCCUCUACAUGUAAGCUACUGUUUGGAGACGAGCCCGCGUACCAUUAGCUUGUUGGUAGGGUAAUGGCCUACCAAGGCAACGAUGGUUAGCUGGUCUGAGAGGAUGAUCAGCCACACUGGAACUGACACACGGUCCAGACUCCUACGGGAGGCAGCAGUGAGGAAUUUUGCGCAAUGGGGGAAACCCUGACGCAGCAACGCCGCGUGAGUGAUGAAGGCUUUCGGGUCGUAAAGCUCUGUCAAGUGGGAAGAACCCGUGCCGUACAAAUAGUGCGGUGCGCUGACGGUACCACUGAAGGAAGCACCGGCUAACUCCGUGCCAGCAGCCGCGGUAAUACGGGGGGUGCAAGCGUUAUUCGGAAUCAUUGGGCGU